UCCGCGAUAGUAUAGUUGUGAGUAUCUCCGCCUGUCACGUGAAGACCCGGGUUCAAUUCCCGGUCGCGGAG
rnacentral:tRNA from 1 species